UACGUAGGGUGCGAGCGUUGUCCGGAAUUAUUGGGCGUAAAGGGCUCGUAGGCGGUUUGUCGCGUCGGGGAGUGAAAACCAGGUGCUUAACACCUGGCUUGCUUUCGAUACGGGCAGACUAGAGGUAUGCAGGGGGAGAACGGAAUUCCUGGUGUAGCGGUGAAAAUGCGCAGAUAUCAGGAGGAACACCGGUGGCGAAGGCGGUUCUCUGGGCAUGACCUGACGCUGAGGAGCGAAAGUGUGGGGGAGCGAACAGG
rnacentral:rRNA from 1 species